GUGAGGAAUCUUGCGCAAUGGGCGAAAGCCUGACGCAGCCAUGCCGCGUGAAUGAUGAAGGUCUUAGGAUUGUAAAAUUCUUUCACCGGGGACGAUAAUGACGGUACCCGGAGAAGAAGCUCCGGCUAACUUCGUGCCAGCAGCCGCGGUAAUACGAAGGGGGCUAGCGUUGCUCGGAAUUACUGGGCGUAAAGGGCGCGUAGGCGGACAGCUUAGUCAGAGGUGAAAGCCCAGGGCUCAACCUUGGAAUUGCCUUUGAUACUGGCUGUCUUGAGUUUGGGAGAGGUGAGUGGAACUCCGAGUGUAGAGGUGAAAUUCGUAGAUAUUCGGAAGAACACCAGUGGCGAAGGCGACUCACUGGCCCAAUACUGACGCUGAGGCGCGAAAGCGUGGGGAGCAAACAGGAUUAGAAACCCCUGUAGUCC
rnacentral:rRNA from 1 species